rnacentral:rRNA from 1 species
UACGAAGGGGGCUAGCGUUGCUCGGAUUGACUGGGCGUAAAGGGCGCGUAGGCGGUUCGUACAGUCAGACGUGAAAUUCCUGGGCUCAACCUGGGGGCUGCGUUUGAUACGUGCGGACUUGAGUGCGGAAGAGGGUCGUGGAAUUCCCAGUGUAGAGGUGAAAUUCGUAGAUAUUGGGAAGAACACCGGCGGCGAAGGCGGCGACCUGGUCCGAUACUGACGCUGAGGCGCGAAAGCGUGGGGAGCAAACAGG